ACGGAGGAUCCAAGCGUUAUCCGGAUUUAUUGGGUUUAAAGGGUGCGUAGGCGGGCCCUUAAGUCAGUGGUGAAAGUUUGCAGCUUAACUGUAAAAUUGCCAUUGAAACUGAGGGUCUUGAGUGUAAAUAAGGUAGGCGGAAUGUGUUGUGUAGCGGUGAAAUGCUUAGAUAUAACACAGAACACCAAUUGCGAAGGCAGCUUACUGGGAUACAACUGACGCUGAGGCACGAAAGCGUGGGGAUCAAACAG
rnacentral:rRNA from 1 species